rnacentral:pre_miRNA from 1 species
GAUAUACUCCCUCUGUCCGAAUAUACUUGUCAUAGGAAUGGAUGUAUCUAGAUAUAUUUUAGUUCUAGAUACAUACAUUUUGAUACAUUUACACGACAAGUAUUUCCGAACGGAGGGAGUAGUAU